rnacentral:lncRNA from 1 species
CAAGAUUUAUCUGUGUGUAGAGAAGAUAAAUUGAGAUUUUAUGAGAGGCGGAAUUCUCUGAAGACCCUUAGAGCUGAUUUCAUCACAGUGCCAUUCCCCCUUCCUCUAGUCUGCUGUUUAAAGGAAAUUGUUCAACUUUGACAAAAUUACUCAGGAUGUGAAAAAAAUGUUUCCAAGUAUGGAGUGUUUCAUUUUCUGCCAUUCCAAUGCUGGACUUCAAGAGUGCUCUUGCUCUCACUCUCUCUCUCUCCUUCUCUCUCUCUCUCUCUCUCUCUCUCUCUCUCUCUCUCUCUCUCUCUGUUGCACUCUCUUUCUUGCUCUAUCCCUUUCCUCUAUCUCUGUCUCCCUCUCUAAUCCUCUCUCUCUCUCUCUGGUUCUCUCUGUCUCUCUCACUGUCUCUGUCUGUUUUGCUCUAUCUCUGUCUCUGUCUCUCUGUCUUUCUCAGUCUGUCUCUUUUGCUCUAUCUCUGUCUCCCUCUUUGUCUCUGUCUCUGUCUCUUUUUUUUGCUCUAUCCCUUUAUCUCUGUCUCUCCUCUAUCUUGGGAUCUCUUUCUUUCUUUCUCUCUCUCUUUCUUCUUUCUGUUUCUGUCUCUCUCUCUUUCUCACUGUUUCUGUCUCUUUUGCUCUAUCCCUCUCUUCUAUCUCUGUCUCUGUCUCCCUCUCUGGCUCUUUCACUGUCUCUGUCUUUUUUGCUCUAUCUCUGUCUCCCUCUUUGUCUCUGUCUGUCUCUUUUUUUCCCUCUAUCCCUGUCUUCUAUCUCUGUCUCUCCUUUUUCUCAGGAUCUCUUUCUUUCUUUCUUUCUUCCUCUAUCUCUUUCUGUCUGUUUCUCUCCUCCCUUCACUCUUAUCCUCUCAUUUGUUCUACACUUCUCCAUCAGUCUCUCCUGAACAGUUGCUGGGUGCUGACUUAAAGGCAGUGUGGAAUAACAGAAAGAGCCAUGAAUAAGGGAGUUAAUUCAAAUCCUGGGUCUACCACCUAAUGCUUGUGUUGUUUGGGCCAAAUCACCUCCCUUGUCUUCAGUUUCCUUAUCUGUGGAGAGCUCCUUCCACUUCUAAAU